UGCCNNCAGCCCGCGGUAAUACGUAGGNGUGCAAGCGUUGUCCGGAAUUAUUGGGCGUAAAGAGCUCGUAGGCNUUUUGUCGCGUCUGCUGUGAAAANCCGAGGCUCAACCUCGGACCUGCAGUGGGUACGGGCAAACUAGAGUGCGGUAGGGGAGAUGGGAAUUCCUGGUGUAGCGGUGGAAUGCGCAGAUAUCAGGAGGAACACCGAUGGCGAAGGCACAUCUCUGGGCCGUAACUGACGCUGAGGAGCGAAAGCGUGGGGAGCGAACAGGAUUAGAUACCCUGGUAGUNCAAGGGCG
rnacentral:rRNA from 1 species